AGGUGUGGUCGAUAUGAAAGGGGUGUGGCUAAACAGAACAGAGGUUGAAAUGUAUUUUAGGUGUAACCACGUGGCCAAUAAGGAAUCAGCUUCUCCGGGAAGGAAUGGGUUACCUUUGUAAUGACACUUAGGGGCCACAGAAUGAAUCUCAACGCCUCAUAGAGUGCUUCAUCACUAAGGACAGACUUGGGCACAGCCACAAAGGUACCAGCAGACCUUCCUUCUUUGUGGGUCUAAGAUUAUAUGGGCUUUUGCUUGCAUGGAAGCUAGCUGUUGUUCACUUAGUUACAUCUGGUCCCUGGUCUCCAGAGGAGUCUGCUUUCACGAUAACAGCUGACCCCUAAGAGUUGGAAUUCCCGGUAUAGCAAAACUGACUACUUUGAUCCUCCUUAUUUAAAAAACAACUCACCAUUUUCCAGACUACCAAAUGAAGACAAAAUUAAUUUCCCCUGAAGAUUGAAACUCAGCUUAACUUCAAAGUGAGUUCCAGAACCCUGGACAAUAAACUCAAAUGAAGAACUACAUUCACAAGCUUGUCAAGCAGGGUGGGCAGAUAUCAACAAUUUUAUGACUUAUGGAUUGAAUUCAUACACUGAAGAUGAUGGAGGAGGAAGACAGAAAAAGCCUCAGGCUAUCAUAGCUGUAGAGCUGCCUCCUAGUUUCCUGACUUUAUUUAGGGAAGAGAAUAAAAUCCUAAUUCCCUCAA